ensembl:lncRNA novel transcript
GAGACUGGCUGAGUCUUCUGGUCUUCAUCUUUCUCCCAUGCUGGAUGCUUCCUGCCCUUGAACAUUGGACUGCAAGUUCUUUAGCUUUUGGACGUUUGGACUUACACCAGUGGUUUGCCAGGGGCUCUCAGACCUUCUGCCACAGACUGAAGGCUGCACUUUCAGCUUCCCUACUUUUGAGGUUUUGGAACUCGGACUGGCUUUCUUGCUCCGCAGCUUGCAGGUGGCCUGUUAUGGGACUUUACCUUGUGGAUCAUGUGAGUCAGUACUCCUUAAACUCCCUUUCAUAUAUCCAUCUAUCCUAUUCAUCCUGUCUCUGUAGACAACCCUGACUAAUACAAGCAGAACUGAGAACCCUCUCUUGGGAUCUGGAUCAGGACCCCUUUCUGGUAACAUCUUCCUGGCAAACCCCAAAGGGAUGAUACUGAGGAGACUUCUGACCCAAAGGAAAUGGACUGGAGCACCAAUUGGCUAACUUUGGCUUGGCCCCCAGUGCUAUGGUGCACUGAGCUGGGUUACUAGGGCCACUUAGGAAAAGGGAACCCAGAAGCCUAGCAUGCGGCAAAAGGAAUCAAGAAAAACUUUUUUUUAAGCUACUUGUAGCUUUUCACAAUUGAGUAAGGUAUACUCCUGUAAACAAAAUUUGGAGCACAUUCGUCUCUCUCUACCUGAUUUCUCCAGAAUUUGAAAACUAGUUGACAACUUUGUGCCCUGUCUUCCAGUUUAACAUGGAGCUUUCAGUCUGUAAUGCAGAGGAUCCUCUAGGGUAUAACUCCACAAGGCAGAAGACAAGUUUACUGUGGACAAAAAAAUGGGCUAGAAUGUCUUCAGCUUCUCAGGCCCUUAAUAGGGCUGAUGAUGGAUGACUCUACUGGAGAAAAGGAAGACAAAGAGGUUUCAGAUCAUCAAUAAAGCAGCUGACUCUCAAGAAAUGGCUGGAAAUCAUAUUUAAAGUCGAUCUUAAAUGAAUUUGAAAAAAAUGCACAUAAAGAUCGUUACCUGCCUCGUUUGGACAUAUCAGACCUAUGAAUAUUUAUGUAGAAACAAGAGCUUAUAAUUAUCACAAAAAGAAAAUGAACACUACUUUUCCCAUUUAGAAAAAUAUGAAAGGCAAAUUUUAAAUGAAAACUCUCUUGGGACAUUUGAUAUGUCAUGAACUAUCAAGACCAUGACUAUUUUUUAAUAGCUUUUGAAAUCUUUCUCGAAAAUGUCUCUCUUCUUUUCUCCAUUCUUAUUUAUUCCUUAGUUUUGACUUUAAUAUAUUUAUUAUUCUCAGUUGCUUCUGUAAGCCUUAACUUUUAUCAAAUUUGUAAAAUAGCAGAGAAUAGAAUUUUGAUGUCAUUCAAAUGCCUCACCUAGUACUAUGCACAUAGUAAACACACAACUAAUACAACUGCACUUGGAUUCAAAGAUCCUUCAAUGGUGGAGAAUAGAAAAGCUAUAGGGCAGGAUUUCUAGUCUGCACAGAGCUGAGCACAGAGGAGCAGUGCUGUGUCAAGGGCAAGACUCUCACAAGUGGCUGGAGCAAACAGAGAGGAAAGACUCUUCCCCUAGAACCUAAGUAGCCAGUUAUUCAGGCCCAAAGGACCCCUCUGUUGCUAAAUCAGGGAUCAAGCCUUAAAUAGGUUAAUUUUUUCCUUAUGUGAACAUACAAGGGUAAGCAGACUUACCAUUCUCAUCAAAAGGAGAUGGAAAAGGGACAUAGAGGUCUGACAUCUGCAUAAGCUACCUAGCUACCUGCAAUCUAGCUGGUACAACAGCUAUCUUUAAUUUUUAGUAAGGGAGCUCAAGUAAGUUGCCCUAGAUGAAAAAACCAGUAAGGAGAAAGCUUAAAUAACUUGCCCAAGAUGACACAGCUAGCACAGGGCAGUGCUUGAGUAACUUCCCGAGGUUACACAGGUAGUGAGAGGUGGAAUUGCUAGGUUGUUCAGCACCACACUUUUCUCCCCUCUACCUCAAUGGUUCCUGGCUCUGUGUGGGUGUCUCCUAGCAGAUAAAAUGGCCCUCUUCCAUUUACAUUUGUCUUAUCCUUAUAUCUUCAAAAUGGUUCGUAAGACAAAAAGAGCCUGCCCUUGAUAGACUGCCUCCCACUGCAGCAAGUCUAGCACUGAGCAGCCCUAAGACUAGAAUGCCAACUUCGUAGAGGGAGGAUAGAUAGGAAAGGCUCCUGAGACCUGGGGCCUGGGAGAAGGAAGUAGUAGGUUCAAGAUUAAGAGGAGGUGAGUGAUACGUGUGGCUCAGACAUAAAAUGUAAUGCCCACCAAAAAACUCAGUCAUCAAUCUAAGUAAUAUUUACUGAAAUGAUUUUUAAAAUCACAGUAUGAGAAACCCGUGAAGAACAAAAUAUCAAACUUGUAAAUAAAGACAGGAUCCGGCAGGGCCAGUGUGGUGGUGAGGCAAGUGAGGCUAAGUUAUGUAAAUGAAGGGUUGGACCCUAUCUUAAUUUUAAACUGCUGAAAUUUUAUUUAUCAUGGGCUUUUUUGGCAUUUUGAUUGUUAAAAUAAUUCAUUAUAUUGUUUAUCUUGAUUACUGCAUUUUGGCAUCCCCAUAAAUUUUGUGCCUGAG